rnacentral:lncRNA from 10 species
CAUUUUCCUGCCUCAGCCUCCGGAGUAGCUGAGACCACAGGCGCCCGCCACCACGCCCGGCUAAUUUUUUUGUAUUUUUAGUAGAGACGGGGUUUCACCGUGUUAGCCAGGAUGGUCUCAAUCUCCUGACCUCGUGAUCCGCCCGCCUCGGCCUCCCAAAGAAUCUCCUUUUAAGAUUACAUUCUGUUCUCAGCCCCACGCAAACUUCUACAGACCUUCAGACAGAGCUGAAUUCCUUGGCCAGAGUAGAGUUCCACUGGCACACCGGGCAGCAAGCGCCAGCCAGCCAACCGUGCAGGCUCCCAGUGGCAGCUGUGGUUUUUCCCCCGCCCGUCGUGGCCGUUGCCGUGGCCAUUUCAUCUGGGGGCUCCAUCUGGGAUAUUCAUCAGAAGGGGUCACAGGUCGCAGGAGCCUCUCCCAACAGCUCAGGGCACAAGGUGGAAACCAGCAUUGGACAAGACAUCAUCUUAUCUCAGGUACACACACACAGACAUUCACUCCUCCUGGGAUGAUGUAGACAUACCAAUUCACUUAAAGUGUACACCUUUGGGAUGUGGGAGAAAACCCAAUUACUUGGAGAUAUUUGAGAACCUGCUAUAUAAACUCUUCUUAUGCUACAUAAAAUAGGUAAUACCUAGAAUUUAUCAAAAUUAACUCUAACUAGAUAUUAAUUUAGUCAUUUCUAAAGUCUUAGUGGGUUGCAUAAAGCAGUGCUGUCAACUGG